GAUGAACGCUAGCGGCGGGCUUAAUACAUGCAAGUCGAGGGGUGGUAGCAAUACUACACCGGCGCACGGGGGCGUAACGCGUAUGCAAUCUACCUUUAUCUGGGGGAUAGCCCGGGGAAACCCGGAUUAAUACCGCACAACAAGUAUCUUGGCAUCCAGAGACUUUAAAAGAUUUAUCGGAUAGAGAUGAGCAUGCGUAAGAUUAGAUAGUUGGCGAGGUAACGGCUCACCAAGUCUACGAUCUUUAGGGGCUCUGGGAGGAGAAUCCCCCACACUGGCACUGAGAUACGGGCCAGACUCCUACGGGAGGCAGCAGUAGGGAAUAUUGGGCAAUGGGCGCAAGCCUGACCCAGCCACGCCGCGCGCAGGAAGAAGGCCCUCUGGGUUGUAAACUGCUUUUGACUGGGAAGAAAAGACUCCUUGCGAAGAGAGUUGACGGUACCAGCAGAAUAAGCCACGGCUAACUACGUGCCAGCCGCCGCAGUAAAAC
rnacentral:rRNA from 1 species